rnacentral:rRNA from 1 species
UGCCAGACUCCUACGGGAGGCAGCAGUGGGGAAUAUUGCACAAUGGGGGAAACCCUGAUGCAGCAACGCCGCGUGAGUGAGGAAGUAUUUCGGUAUGUAAAGCUCUAUCAGCAGGGAAGAAAAUGACGGUACCUGACUAAGAAGCCCCGGCUAACUACGUGCCAGCAGCCGCGGUAAUACGUAGGGGGCAAGCGUUAUCCGGAUUUACUGGGUGUAAAGGGAGCGUAGACGGCAUGGCAAGUCAGAUGUGAAAGCCCGGGGCUCAACCCCGGGACUGCAUUUGAAACUGUCAGGCUGGAGUGCAGGAGAGGUAAGUGGAAUUCCUAGUGUAGCGGUGAAAUGCGUAGAUAUUAGGAGGAACACCAGUGGCGAAGGCGGCUUACUGGACUGUAACUGACGUUGAGGCUCGAAAGCGUGGGGAGCAAACAGGAUUAGAUACCCUCGUAGU